UAACCUGCCCAAGAGAUCGGGAUAACACCUGGAAACAGAUGCUAAUACCGGAUAACAACAGAUGAUGCCUAUCAACUGUUUAAAAGAUGGUUCUGCUAUCACUCUUGGAUGGACCUGCGGUGCAUUAGCUAGUUGGUAGGGUAACGGCCUACCAAGGCGGUGAUGCAUAGCCGAGUUGAGAGACUGAUCGGCCACAUUGGGACUGAGACACGGCCCAAACUCCUACGGGAGGCAGCAGCU
rnacentral:rRNA from 1 species